UACGAGGGGGGCAAGCGUUGUUCGGAUUUAUUGGGCGUAAAGGGCUCGUAGGCGGCCAACUAAGUCAUACGUGAAAUCCCUCAGCUUAACUGGGGAACUGCGUGUGAUACUGGAUGGCUUGGAUUUGGGAGAGGGAUGCGGAAUUCCAGGUGUAGCGGUGAAAUGCGUAGAUAUCUGGAGGAACACCGGUGGCGAAGGCGGCAUCCUGGACCAAUAUUGACGCUGAGGAGCGAAAGCCAGGGGAGCAAACGGG
rnacentral:rRNA from 1 species